rnacentral:rRNA from 1 species
GCCCAAGGAUGAAACCGCGGCCGAUCAGGUUGUUGGUGAGGUAACGGCUCACCAAGCCUAUAACCGGUACGGGCCCUGAGAGGGGGAGCCCGGAGAUGGAACCUGAGACAAGGUUCCAGGUCCUACGGGACGCAGCAGGCGCGAAAACUCCACAAUGCACGAAAGUGCGAUGGGGUUAUCCCGAGUGCCGUCUGAUGAGGACGGCUUUUCACUGGUGUAAUGAGCCAGUGGAAGAAGGGGAGGGCAAGACUGGUGUCAGCCGCCGCGGUAAUACCAGCUCCCCGAGUGGUGGGGACGUUUAUUGGGCCUAAAGCGUUCGUAGCCGGCUUGAAAAGUCUUCCGUUAAAUCUGGCGACCCAAUCGUCAGGCCGCGGAGGAUACUGUUAAGCUAGGGGGCGGGGGAGGUCGACGGUAUUCUCGGGGUAGGGGUGAAAUCCUAAGAUCCUGAGAGGACCACCAGUGGCGAAGGCGGUCGACCAGAACGCGCCCGACGGUGAGGGACGAAAGCUGGGGUAGCGAACCGGAUUAGAUACCCGGGUAGUCCCAGCUGUAAACUAUGCAGGCUAGGUGUUGGAGCGGCUACGAGCCGCUUCAGUGCCGCAGGGAAGCUAUUAAGCCUGCCGCCUGGGAAGUACGGUCGCAAGAUUGAAACUUA